UCGCACCGUCAAAACGUCCCCCCCUCGGCCCUGCUGCAGGAACUUUCUUUUCCGGCUCUCAGAGUCGGCGGGCGCCGGGACCGGUUCCGAAGGAGCUACCAGGAACGGACGGAGCUGCUGGGCGGAACGGUGUUUGCAAUGGCUGCUGCUGUGAAUUUGGAACUUGAUCCAAUUUUUUUGAAAGCCCUAGGCUUCUUACAUUCAAAGAGUAAGGAUUCUGCUGAAAAGCUAAAAGCACUCCUUGAUGAAUCCUUGGCUCGGGGCAUUGAUUCAAGUUACCGCCCGUCUCCAAAGGAUGUGGAGCCACCCAAAAUUUCAAGUACAAAAACUAUUUCCAUUAAGCCAGAGCCCAAAACUUCAUCCAGUAUUCCUUCUGGCAAUAAUAACGGCAAGGUCCUCACAACGGAAAAGGUAAAGAAGGAAGCUGAAAAGAGACCUGCUGAUAAAAUAAAAUCAGACCUAAGUGAAGGAGUUGACGUUCCAAAGAAACCGCGAUUGGAGAAACCGGAGGCACGAUCUUCCCCCAUCACUGUCCAGACGAGCAAGGAUUUAGCUAUUGCUGACCUUUCCAGCUUUGAGGAGACUAGUGCCGAUGAUUUUGCCAUGGAGAUGGGAUUGGCCUGUGUUGUUUGCAGGCAAAUGACAGUGGCAUCUGGAAAUCAACUAGUUGAAUGUCAGGAGUGCCACAAUCUCUACCACCAAGAUUGCCAUAAGCCCCAGGUGACAGAUAAGGAAGUGAAUGACCCUCGCCUGGUGUGGUAUUGUGCUCGAUGUACCAGGCAGAUGAAAAGAAUGGCUCAAAAAACUCAGAAACCAGCCCAGAAACCAGCCCCUACCGUUGUUUCUGUAACUCCAGCUGUCAAAGAUCCUUUGGUUAAGAAACCAGAAACUAAACUAAAACAGGAGACAACUUUUCUGGCAUUCAAAAGAACAGAAGUCAAGGCAUCCACAGUUAUUUCAGGAAAUUCUUCUAGUACCAAUGUUUCCUCUUCAGCAACUAGUGGCCUAACUGGAUGGGCAGCUUUUGCAGCCAAAACCUCCUCUGCUGGUCCAUCAACAGCAAAAUUGAGUUCAACAACACAAAACAAUAGUGGGAAACCUACUACCUCGUCAGCUAACCAGAAGCCUGUGGGUUUGACUGGUCUAGCAACAUCAUCCAAAGGUGGAAUAGGAUCCAAAAUAGGUUCCAGUAACAGCAGUACACCCACUGUACCACUGAAACCACCUCCACCUCUAACCUUGGGCAAAACUGGCCUUAGUCGCUCAGUAAGUUGUGACAAUGUUAGCAAAGUUGGUCUUCCUAGUCCAAGUAGUUUAGUUCCAGGAAGCAGCAGCCAACUGAGUGGGAAUGGAAAUAGUGGAACAUCUGGGCCUACUGGGAAUACCGCUAGUAAAACCACUUCAGAAUCGAGCAGCUCCUCCUCAGCAUCCCUUAAAGGUCCAACCUCACAAGAAUCCCAGCUCAAUGCCAUGAAGCGAUUACAGAUGGUCAAGAAGAAAGCUGCCCAAAAGAAACUCAAGAAGUAAUAUGACCAAAAUUUAAAUUUCAUGAGGUCUGGAUCUUGUUUUUGUCUUGCACGCUAUUGUACUCCCACUGCAGUUCUCAAUAAAUAUUUAUUGCUUCAUUAAACGAGUGGACAGGUGCCAUCAAGUCGGUUCCAACUCAUAGCGAACCUGCACACAACGGAAUGGAACACUGCCAGGUCCUGUGCCAUCCUCACAAUCAUUAUUAGGUUUGAGCCCAUUGUUGCAGCCACUGUGUUAGUCCG